rnacentral:ncRNA from 2 species
AUUCAACCCCGAUACCGAGCUUGUGAUCCUAAGUCGAGAGAUAUGGUAGCAAAGCCUGCAACUCUGAUUGCACAAGGUAUAAACAGAAAUGAUUAUGCCCCUCCCGUUUAAGAAAGGUAUCGUAAUUUAACUUUG